rnacentral:misc_RNA from 1 species
AAGUCGUAACAAGGUUUCCGUAGGUGAACCUGCGGAAGGAUCAUUAACACGUAUCCAACGUUAAACAACCCUGUGAACUUUCAACCGCUCUUGUAGCCCACGCGGAACAGCAAUCCCGGUAAAUCAAUGGAUGUCUGCCGGCCGGUGAUCGACCUCUGGCAACCGUGAGGCGUUAUCCUUACUCAGUGGAUCCUUCUGCACUGCUUAGGGAAACCAUGCCACUGCUCGAUUGUAGCCUGAUGGACAGAGGUCCCGAAUGUCACAGGGCUAUAUGCCCCCUCAUUCACACCUUGCCCUAUCUGGCCCCACGGAAACGUUGGGGCACAAACCGAACAACUGUUAACAAUGGAUAUCUUGGUUCUC